UACGUAGGGGGCAAGCGUUGUCCGGAAUCAUUGGGCGUAAAGAGCGUGUAGGCGGCCCGACCAGUCCGCUGUGAAAGUCCAGGGCUCAACCCUGGAACGCCGGUGGAUACUGUCGGGCUAGGGUCCGGAAGGGGCGAGUGGAAUUCCUGGUGUAGCGGUGAAAUGCGCAGAUAUCAGGAGGAACACCAAUGGCGAAGGCAGCUCGCUGGGACGUGACUGACGCUGAGACGCGAAAGCGUGGGGAGCAAACAGG
rnacentral:rRNA from 1 species